rnacentral:rRNA from 1 species
AUGCUAUCUUCUGACGAUUUCAUUCUUGUUGCCACAACGUUAUGGGCUAUCUGGUAUGCGAGGCGACAGGCACUCCAUGAACAUAUUUUCCAGAGUCCGCUUUCGACAUACAACUUCAUCCUGAAAUAUAUUCGAGAGUUGGAAGAUUGCAAGACAAAGAAGAAUCCAAGGGUGGUCGCACGAGCUGAAUUAGUUCAGCCAAGAUGGGUAGCUCCGGCGGAGGGGACAGCAAAAAUCCGUGUGGAUGGGGCAGUUUCCAGAGAUGGUAGUUUUGGCUCUUUCAGUGCUGUAUGCAGAAGCUCUUCGGGGUCUUUUUUGGGAGCCUCGGCCAUCAAGAUCGAUGGCAUUUCAGAUCCAGCGACUUUGGAAGCCUUGGCCUGUCGCGAGGCACUUGAUCUUGCUAUGGAUCUUGACCUUGCUAAAAUCCUCAUAGCAAGUGACUGCCAAGAGGUGGUGAAUGACAUAAAAAACUGCACUGGUGGCGUCUAUGCUAGUACCAUUAGAGAGAUAGUGGAGUCAAGGAAUACUUUCGAUGAUUGCUCCUUCAUCUUUGAGGGGAGGGCAACGAAUAUUGAGGCACAUAGUCUCGCUAAGCAUGCUUUUGGUUUGGAUUUCGGGCGCCAUGUAUGGCUUUUAAACCCCCCAAACAUCUCUUGUAUACCUAUGAACAUUUUUGAGUAA